rnacentral:rRNA from 1 species
UUGACAUCCUACCAAGGCGAAUGUAAUGUUUGCCGUGCCUUCGGGAGAGUAGAGACAGGUGGUGCAUGGUUGUCGUCAGCUCGUGUCGUGAGAUGUUGGGUUAAGUCCCGCAACGAGCGCAACCCUUACGGUUAGUUGCUACGAAAGAGCACUCUAGCCGGACUGCCGUUGACAAAACGGAGGAAGGCGGGACGACGUCAAAUCAUCAUGCCCCUUACGUUCCGGGCUACACACGUACUACAAUGGCGCAAACAAAGGGAAGCGAGAUCGCGAGAUGGAGCAAACCCCAUAAAAGGCGUCCCAGUUCGGACUGCAGGCUGCAACCCGCCUGCACGAAGUUGGAAUUGCUAGUAAUCGCGGAUCAGCAUGCCGCGGUGAAUACGUUCCCGGGCUUU